rnacentral:rRNA from 1 species
GAGUUUGAUCCUGGCUCAGGAUGAACGCUGGCGGCGUGCCUAACACAUGCAAGUCGAGCGGGAAGGGAAGAGGCGGAGGCCUCGGCCAAAGUUUCUUCCCGGAUAGCGGCGGACGGGUGAGUAACGCGUGGGUAACCUGCCUUCUACAGAGGGAUAGCCGCUGGAAACGGUGAUUAAUACCUCAUGACACUGCCGGGGCGCAUGCUCUGACAGUCAAAGAUUUUAUCGGUAGAAGAUGGACCCGCGUCUGAUUAGCUGGUUGGUGAGGUAACGGCUCACCAAGGCGACGAUCAGUAGCCGGCCUGAGAGGGUGAACGGCCACACUGGAACUGAGACACGGUCCAGACUCCUACGGGAGACAGCAGUGGGGAAUAUUCGGCAAUGGGGGGAACCCUGACCGAGCAACGCCGCGUGAAUGAUGAAGGCCUUCGGGUUGUAAAGUUCUGUCAUUCGGGAAGAUCGUGACG